CUCGAUUCCUCGCGGGGGUAACGACCCGCCCGAGCUGCCCGCCGAACUUCGCGCCAGCUAGGUUCUGCAACUCUCCUUUGCCCUGCGCCUAUAAUACCCGAGCAGUCGUUCCCCUUCUCCUCUCUGUUCGUCCCAUCAAUUACGCCGCCGCUAGUGUGCAUCGAUUAGGAGAAUGCCGUGAGUGAAGCCGCCGCUUACCAAAUCCAAAUUGUGUCGCCGCCAUAGUGGCAACUCCGUUUCGCCUGCGCUAACACUUUGGGCAGUGCUGGUCGCAUGGAAGGCAGUGGGUGCCUCGUCUGGGUGGAUUCACGCUCUGUGCCGCCGGAAUCGCACGCCGUAGCUCCACGGUCGCCGCAGGAUCACACGUCUCCGUGGGCAGGGAUCUCGACGCAUCGAC
rnacentral:lncRNA from 7 species